rnacentral:rRNA from 1 species
GGAUUAGAUACCCUGGUAGUCCACGCAGUAAACGAUGAGUGCUAGAUAUUAUAACUACAGUUUUAGUGUCGAAGCUAACGCGUUAAGCACUCCGCCUGGGGAGUACGGUCGCAAGAUUAAAACUCAAAGGAAUUGACGGGGACCCGCACAAGCGGUGGAACAUGUGGUUUAAUUCGAUGCUACGCGAAAAACCUUACCAAGUCUUGACAUAGUGGUCGUAUGAUUAAGAAACUAAUCAGUCAUCAGUUUACUGGAUGGACCACAUACAGGUGUUGCAUGGCUGUCGUCAGCUCGUGCCG